CAUUUUUUUGUUCACGUGAGUUUGCGGCGUUUGUCCUGUUUAUCCUAAAGUUGGAUUCGGACCGUGGCUCAGCUGGUCCCUUCUGAUCCUGCCUUUACAGUCAACUGUAGCGAUCUGGGCUGACAUCCGAAACCGCGUACAAUCGCGUUCCGGCGAUCGGCCAACAUGAAAUUGGGCGACUACUCCGCUACACGAGACUGGUCUAGGACAAGGUCGAAGUUGUUGAUAACGAAGUUCCUGUUCUUGAUCAGCUUUCUUGGACACAGAGGCAUCGGCAGCAGCAGCGGGAAGGCUUGGCUCCCUUCUUGAUAGCGGGGGCAGACACCUUGCAGAGCGGCCUGGCGCAGGUCCCGCCGGAGCCGGUUGCUGUUGAUGAUGUUUUUCAGGGUGUGGCGUGGGUUGUGCUUCAGCGUCACCUUCACGGUGGCCUUGGGCGGCUUGGUCUUUGGCCAUUUGUAGACGACGGCAUGAUUAUCAGCGACUUCUGGUGGACCAGUUCCGGCGCUUCAGUAGGAACGAUGGGAUGAAGAAUCGGCAUCUCGCCCGCGACGUUGAUCAAUUUUCCGGGGACUUCGAAAGGUUACAGCAAAACACUUUGGUGGCAUCAUAAUCAGGAUCGCUAAGGGCAAGGGCGAUGACGAACACCGUUACGAUGCUAGCAGGUGCCUCCAUGGCUCAGUUGGUUUCGGUUCGGAAUGAAGCAUUGCCGGUGUCGAAUUGCACGCUGGUCUUCCGUAUCCGCCUCUCGCCCAAGUUUGUAGCAGGAGCAUUUGAUCUGACCGCCUGGAUUGGGAGCAGAUCAUGAUGGACAUCCGGCCCGAAACGGGGUACGAAUGAAACCGAUGAUUUCAAGCCGAUUGAUGUGGAUUUUGUUUCUACUUUUCCAA